GGCCGGUGUGACCAAGGGGAGAAAAUGUUGAAGAAGCAGGAUGAGCCACGGACCUGCGUAAGGGUGAAAGGGUGAAGACCGCCGGAAAGUUUGCCUUGGAGAGAGCUAGGCUUGAGUAGGGGCGGGGGUGGGGAGAAGAGGGCGUGCUCGGCGCAUGCGCCUGAAGCACAGUGCAGCUAUCCUGGAGGCGGCCCUCUCCCGAUAUCAGCGUUGCGGCUGGAGGCAGGGCUGGUCCUCAGCCUGCUGUCCACUGCCACCUUGGCCUGCUCUUGCGCCGCGAACUCUGUGCCGCCGUUCCCUUCACCAUAUUUUGGGACGGCCGGCGCUAAGAAUUUAUCCUAUGACCUUCGAUUCAGCCAGGAGGUGACACCAAACUUGAUCAGAAACCAUGCCACAGGUGAAGAGGUAUAUUGAGCCCUGCCUGGCCAGUGAGGUUACUAGAGAAUUGGAAGAGGCUCAAGUCAGCAUCCUGCACAUGGUUAUCAAACCAUUGUGAAGUCUUAUCACCUGGGAUACUUGUUAAAAAUGCAGAUUCUUGGGCAGCUAGAAAUGUUGUCACUGGUCAAGAGCAACAAGUAACAAGUAAGACCUACUUGUCACUUAUCCUGAGGCAUCAUGCCCAGUGGGUUUAUCAGCAAACCAGAAUGAAGCCUCAUUGCCCUGGAUGUCCUUGUGAGAUGGUUGGGAAGUCUUGGUAAGUUGCUGGUGGUUUGGUGGGGUUCCCCAUUGGUAGAAAAGAGAUGGUUCUGAUGUGGCACUUUCCCUCUUCCUUCAACAUAUAUUUAUUAGGUGCUCACUGAGUGCUGGAGACUGUUCUAGAUAUUAACAAAGUCCUGCCAUCAUGGGACUUUCAUUCCUGUGAGAGUAGACAAAAGAAUAAAUAACCAAUAAAUAGUGUAUCAUAAAUGUUAAAUCAGAAGUUUUUCCAUUUUAGUGUAAAAGUGGCAUUAAAAAUUGUUGAGUUGAACCUGAAAAUACUGUUUUUCUCCCCCCUUCCCAUUUUCCUGUACCUUCCACCCUCUCUCAGUGCAAUGGAGGCUGACCAAACUGAGUAUAGGAGGGUCACAGAUGAUGAAAGCAGUCUUUUUCCUUUUUGUAACCCCUCACUAGGCUGAACUGUGGAGAAUAUCUUUGAAAAGUGUUUUAUAGAGUCUACCAGAUUUUCCAUGUGAGUGCCUAUGCAGCAGAAGAGUGGGUCUUCUCAGUGGUUAAGGUAACACAGUGAUUAAGGGCCCUUAAGCCUGGUUUGUUUCCAUGGAAAAGAGCAUGACAAAAGAUUGAGUGUCGACAUGUCCCUGGCAGCAGGCAUGAACUUGGGGCACUCUGGCCAGUUGUCCACGUCAGGAGGAG